CCAGCUCUUAGUGACUCUAGCCCUCUCCCGCCCUCCUCUGCACCCUGCAUGCACUUGUGUUGCUGAAUGUGGCCGGAGAAAAACACAGCCAUCUUGACUGUUCUGUGAGACUUCAUAGAUUUCCAGGGCUGUGUGGAAUCAAAAAAUCUUCCUGCAUUUCCCCAGCCAUCUGGCCUCCAGGAUGACUAUUUCACAUCUCCUCAAGCCUUUCACAUCUCAUCCCCCUCACACCUGAUGAUUUUGCUUCCUAUUUCACUGGGAAAAUGAAGUAGGGACGGGGUUUCAUCAUGUUGGCCAGGCUGGUCUCGAUCUUCUGACCUCGUGAGCCGCCCACCUCGGCCUCCCAAAGUGCUGGGAUUACAGGCAUGAGCCACCGCGCCCAGCCAAAGAGCCUAGAACCAUGCCUGGCACACAGUGGGCAUCUAGACCCUUUGCUGAGUGGUGAAAUUGAAGUGUGACAGGGUGCGUGGCUUCCCUGCUCAGGCUCCCUCAGUUCCCAAAGCUGUGCUCCUUCCUGGAUCUCAUGUAGCACAAGGAGGCAUACGUGGGUCGCACCACAUGGCUUCUAGAGGAGUAUGUGUGAAUGUGUUCAUGUUCAU
ensembl:lncRNA SYNJ2-IT1 SYNJ2 intronic transcript 1